rnacentral:lncRNA from 1 species
UGGUCUUCGAAUUCAUGACCCACCAGCUUUGUCGUUGGUAGUGCAUCUUCUUUAAUCUCAUCUAUGUUCCAUGUAAGCCCUCCAAAAGAGCUAGCUCCUGCACCAGGCUGCACUACUCCUCUAGUCCCGUUAUCUAUAUCAUCCUCUGUUGACAAAUUACAGAUCUCAUCCAAACUUCUCUCAAUUGAUUGACCCGUUACAUCUGGUGCUUGUAUCCUUCCAGCAUCCCAGCCAAAUUGUCAAGUACUGCUUUGUUUUGUUCUAGCAGACCGGUUGAAAUAGCAUAAUCAUUAACAUUGCUCGAACUUUCUAUGCUUUUAUCUCCUCGAGGCUCAUCAGCUUGAUUAAUUGAUGGCCUCUCACAAGAGCUACCUCUCUCCAGAUGCUGCACUUGUUCUGUUCUCGGUACAGUUUCAAAUCCAUCAUGCAGACGCUCCACAUCCUCAUCUUCCUGCAUUAAAUAGGUAGAGAUUGCAUUCAGCUUCUGCUCCUUUGAAAGGGCAGAGUGUAUCUGAUCCCAAUUAUAAUCAGCAAAUGGAUCCACCAAAUCUGUUCCUGGUGUUGCUUCUCCUCUAUUCUCAUGAGCAUCAACUCUGAGUCUCCAAGGAGAGACACUUCUGUCAACAUGCUGAAAAGAUCCUUCACCAGUGUAUUCCAUGCCACUUGCCGCUUCUAAACGCGAAUGAAUUCUCUCAGGCCCACAACCUUGUGCCAAAUUACCAAGUACUGCAUUGUCUUGAUCUUGUCGACAGGUGGAAAUGUCAACAUUGCUUGAACUUGCUAUGCUUUUAU